GCAGUCGAGGGGCAGCAUGGUCUUAGCUUGCUAAGGCUGAUGGCGACCGGCGCACGGGUGAGUAACACGUAUCCAACCUGCCGUCUACUCUUGGCCAGCCUUCUGAAAGGAAGAUUAAUCCAGGAUGGCAUCAUGAGUUCACAUGUCCGCAUGAUUAAAGGUAUUUUCCGGUAGACGAUGGGGAUGCGUUCCAUUAGAUAGUAGGCGGGGUAACGGCCCACCUAGUCAACGAUGGAUAGGGGUUCUGAGAGGAAGGUCCCCCACAUUGGAACUGAGACACGGUCCAAACUCCUACGGGAGGCAGCAGUGAGGAAUAUUGGUCAAUGGGCGAUGGCCUGAACCAGCCAAGUAGCGUGAAGGAUGACUGCCCUAUGGGUUGUAAACUUCUUUUAUAAAGGAAUAAAGUCGGGUAUGCAUACCCGUUUGCAUGUACUUUAUGAAUAAGGAUCGGCUAACUCCGUGCCAGCAGCCGCGGUAAUACGGAGGAUCCGAGCGUUAUCCGGAUUUAUUGGGUUUAAAGGGAGCGUAGAUGGAUGUUUAAGUCAGUUGUGAAAGUUUGCGGCUCAACCGUAAAAUUGCAGUUGAUACUGGAUGUCUUGAGUGCAGUUGAGGCAGGCGGAAUUCGUGGUGUAGCGGUGAAAUGCUUAGAUAUCACGAAGAACUCCGAUUGCGAAGGCAGCCUGCUAAGCUGCAACUGACAUUGAGGCUCGAAAGUGUGGGUAUCAAACAGGAUUAGAUACCCUGGUAGUCCACACGGUAAACGAUGAAUACUCGCUGUUUGCGAUAUACGGCAAGCGGCCAAGCGAAAGCGUUAAGUAUUCCACCUGGGGAGUACGCCGGCAACGGUGAAACUCAAAGGAAUUGACGGGGGCCCGCACAAGCGGAGGAACAUGUGGUUUAAUUCGAUGAUACGCGAGGAACCUUACCCGGGCUUAAAUUGCACUCGAAUGAUCCGGAAACGGUUCAGCUAGCAAUAGCGAGUGUGAAGGUGCUGCAUGGUUGUCGUCAGCUCGUGCCGUGAGGUGUCGGCUUAAGUGCCAUAACGAGCGCAACCCUUGUUGUCAGUUACUAACAGGUGAUGCUGAGGACUCUGACAAGACUGCCAUCGUAAGAUGUGAGGAAGGUGGGGAUGACGUCAAAUCAGCACGGGCCCUUACGUCCGGG
rnacentral:rRNA from 1 species